GACGAACGCUGGCGGCGUGCUUAACACAUGCAAGUCGAACGAUGAAGCGGUGCUUGCACCGUGGAUUAGUGGCGAACGGGUGAGUAAUACGUGAGUGACCUACCUUUGACUCUGGGAUAAGCCUGGGAAACUGGGUCUAAUACCGGAUACGACCAAUCUCUGCAUGGGGUGUUGGUGGAAAGCGUUAUGGAGUGGUUUUAGAUGGGCUCACGGCCUAUCAGCUUGUCGGUGAGGUAAUGGCUUACCAAGGCGACGACGGGUAGCCGGCCUGAGAGGGUGACCGGCCACACUGGGACUGAGACACGGCCCAGACUCCUACGGGAGGCAGCAGUGGGGAAUAUUGCACAAUGGGCGCAAGCCUGAUGCAGCGACCCGCGUGAGGGAUGACGGCCUCCGGGUUGUAAACCUCUGUUAGCAUCGAAGAAGCGAAAGUGACGGUAGGUGCAGAGAAAGCGCCGCUAAUA
rnacentral:rRNA from 1 species